rnacentral:rRNA from 1 species
UACGAGGGGGGCAAGCGUUGUUCGGAUUUAUUGGGCGUAAAGGGUGCGUAGGUGGUCCGUUAAGUCAGUUGUGAAAUCCCCGGGCUCAACCCGGGAACUGCUUCUGAUACUGGCGGACUUGAGGCCAGUAGGGGUCACUAGAACUGACGGUGGAGCGGUGAAAUGCGUAGAUAUCGGCAGGAAUGCCGGUGGUGAAGACGGGGGACUGGGCGGGUUCUGACACUGAGGCACGAAAGCGUGGGGAGCGAACGGG